GACGUUGGUAUUGAGGGUGUUCGCGAUGGUCAUUAUUCCCCUCACUCGAACCUUCAUUCACAGCAUCUAUCGUCGAACCUUAGGGUGUAUUUAACAAACUUAAAAAAUUGUAUGUCUUAAAGGUUUUACAUUUAAGGUCGAUUUCCUCCCUUAAGUCCAUUUUACCAUGAAUCCUGGUAACAUACGAGUGACCUUUGGGCUUCUUAUGUAACCCUAUGUCUGGGACCAGCUCAAAAGUUG
rnacentral:lncRNA from 1 species